GGCGUUUAGCUCAGCUGGUUCAGAGCAUCUGCCUUACAAGCAGAGGGUC
rnacentral:tRNA from 2 species